rnacentral:lncRNA from 1 species
UUUUAAUGAUCUCAAGCACUAAAUUAAAUAAUAAAUAAUAAAAAAUAAUAAUUUUAAUGCAUAUACUUGCAAUAAACUUCAAAAAAGAAACAUAUUUUGUAUUCUACACAUACUGAUAAACAAUAUUUCAAUAUGUGCAGUAAUAACAAACUCUAAAAACCAAAUGUAUUCAUAAAGUAUCAUAACAAUAAAUAUUACAGUUUCAAAAACUCUUUAUCAUUCACUUCAAUAGAUCAAUUAACUUUUGGCCGCCAUUUCCAAUUGCAUCAACCGUAUUUUCCUACACAUCAAAAAUAAAAUUUAAAAUUAAAAAGAAACCGAUAGAUAGCAUGCAAUAUCAUACUUGAUUGAGGUAUUUGAGGUGGAAGCUGAAAUUUAGAACAAUUGAUUUUAGAGAACAAACAAACAUUCACAUUAAAGCUUCAAAAAAUUUCUAUUGAACUUGAACUUUUUUGAGAAGAUACAUGAAAAAUUCAAGUUCAUAUGGCAUAUAAGACAUGUUCUUUCUUGACUUUUCUUCUUACUAUCAGAGCAUUAUAAAAAUGGGUAAGUAACUAAACAUAGAAACACAUAUAAACAGAUUAAAAUGAUGAAAGCUUUACUGGAAUGCUAACACUUAAUAUCAAAAUGGAUGGUGGUGCAACUUCAAUGAUAACAUUGAGGCAAUCAUUUUGACAGUAUUCUUAGAGCUCCACCUGCACAGCUAGACUUCGCUAGUAGGCCUAUCCCCCCAAUAGCACAAAUGCAAGAAAAUAUACCUAUUUUAGCUCUCUAAUUUGAUAUAACUGGUGAAAUGAAACUCACCUGAAUUUGACAUGUUUGAGUUCUCUUUCGCCAUCUGGGGAGUACUCUUAUAGUGAUGAAAACUCUAGGUUGAAAGUUUAUCUACAAUUGAAUGCUCACUAUCUAUCAUAUGUAAAAUAGAAUGACGUUUCUUCAAAUUAAAUAUUUAGUGCAACAUCUUAAAUAAUAAAAAUACUGAGAGAAAAUAAAUGGCUACAAAUUCUUAAUCUUCUCUCUAACACUUACAAGUAGGAUUUAUAUAUUUCAAUUAGUUUUAUUCAAGCUAAGCUACUAAUAGAGCUCUACUAAUAUCAAAUCUGUAAAAGGCAAAAUAAAACAGCUCCAUAAAAUUCCAAUCUCUAUGAAGUCAAGAUUAAUAAGAACGCUUCUGCUGUAAGUUAAGAUCUUUGCACGCUCUUAAAUAUUACAUAUAAUUUGAGUAUCAAAUCCAAAUAACGUUGCCUAUGUCGUCUUUCUUACAGUCAUAGAAAAAAUGAACCACACGAACACAUCCGACGCAUAAAUUUUUUAAAAUGAAAUAGAACGAAAGCAAACGUUUCAUAAAAAAAAAACUUAUGAAAAAAUAAAAGAAAGAAGAGGUAUAAAGUACCUGUACUUUUAACAUAUGUAUCUGGAUUCUAGCUACUUCCCGGACACAUGCUUCACUUUUCUGAGCACAAUUAGAUAAAGUUCAAUAACUAGUCUUAGACAGUCCAGGAACCUUUCUGCCUUGGCUUCAUAUGAAGUCAAUGAGAUAACAUUACAAAUAAUUUUGCAAAAUACACAGAUCUCCCUUUUUACUCUUUCCUUGUGAAUGGGUUGGAAAGAUUAAUAGAAUAUGUUAUUAUCAAACUGAAACAUCAGUAAUGUCAUCAUCAGUAGCCUGAUAUCUUAGCAUAGACAUCACCAUGUGAAGAUAGAUGCACCUUAUAAUUGCAUUGCAAACAUUAAUGUUCAAGGCGAGAAACUAUGGCAAAACACAAAGUGCAUAAAUACAAGAAAAUAUUUUAUAUUCAGCAUGAAUACCUAUACGCUAUGCAUUUAUUGUUCUUUGACAGUCCUUUGAGUUUUUAAAAGAAUGAAUCGUCUAGAAUUAAGUUAUUGUAAGUGUUUUUUAGCCUAUGUCUGAAGUAAAGAGAAGCGUGAGAGUAUAACAAUUCAGGACGUAACCACAAUUGCUAUGUUUUCCAAGUUUCAGGGGUUGCAAGACAAGUUGAGAGGUUUAUGCAAGAAAGAAACAAAUCUCACAUUACCCUAUCCUCCCCAAAUAACCCACAAAAAUCAAGCCUACCACUAAGUCCGCACUCACAACAACAAUCCUAUCAAAUUGUUAUAAAACAUUAUCUAAACUUGUGAUGAGACCAAAAGGUCAUCACUUGUUUUAAAAGUGAAUUCUGUGUUACGAAGCCUCAAAAACCACUUUCGGCAUUACCUCGAUUUGUGUGCGCAGUCUGGGCGCGUAGCCGGAAAGCCAUUAUGUGAAAAUCUGCGAAAAAUGAUGAAUUUUGACUUUAAAAUAAAUUAAGUUGACUUCGGUCAAUAUUUUGGGUAAACAGACCCAGACCCAUGAUUGGACGGUCCUGGAGGGUUCGUAGGAAAAUAUGGGACUUGGACGUAUGCCCGGAAUCGAAUUGCGAGGUCCUAAUCCUAAGAAAUGAAUUUUUUAAAAAAAAUUAUUUUCUGGAAUUAUUUGAGUUUUGAAAAUGAAAUGUGUUUAAAAUUUGAUGGUAUCAGGCCCGUAUUAUGGUUUCGGAGCUCGGUACAGGUCUUAUAUGUGGUUUAAGUCGAGUCUGUGAAAUUUGGUAAGAAACGGACUUGAAAUGAUAUGAAUCGGACCUUAUUUGAGGAAAUUGGGAAAAUUUGAAGUUCUUAAGAAAUUUCAUGAUUUUGAUGCUAAAUUCAUAGUUGUUAAUGUUAUUUUUGUGAUUUGAAUGCAUGAGCGAGUUCGUAUGAUGUUUUUUAGAUUUGUGUGCAUAUUUGGUUUGGAGCCCCGAGGGCUCGGGUGAGUUUUGGAUAGGCCACGGGGUGGAUUUUGAACUUGAAAAAAUUGCAGAUUUUCAGUUGGUGUGAUCAGGUCCUGGCUCGCAAAUGCGAAGAAUGGACCUAGCAGCUUGAGUCGCAAAUGCGAACGGUCACUCGCAAAUGCGAUGAUGACUGGAAAGCUGAGUGGAUCGCAAAUGUGAAAGUCCAAUUUUUUGAGGGGUUCGCAAUUGCGAACCCUGGUCACAAUUGCGAAACCAGAGACUUGUAAGUUCAUAACUUAGACGCAUUUCUACCAUUUUUCAUACUCUUUCAAAACCAAAACACCCUAGGAUGAUUUUUCAAAGGCAACUUCUUCUCCAAAUCAAUUGUAAGCGAUUUCUAACUAGUUUUCUUCAAUCUUUAACAUCUUUUCACAUGAUUUCAACUCAAAAUCAAUGAUUUUUAUGGGGGAAAUUGGGUGUUUUGGAUAGAACCUAGGUUUUUCAAAAAUUGGGGAUUUGGACCUCAAUUUGAUGUCCGAUUUCAAAACAAAUUAUAUAUUUGAGUUCUUGGGGGAAUGGGUAAUCGGAUUUUGGUUCGAACCUCGGGUUUUGACCAUAUGGGUCCAAGGGCGAUUUUUGACUUUUUGGGUAAAACUUUAAAAAACUUAUUUUCAUGCAUUAGAAUUGAUUCAUUUAGCGUUUAUUGAUGUAAUUAAGUAACUUGUGGCUAGAUACGAGCGAAUUGGUGGUAGAAUCAAGAAGUAAAGCGAUAGUAGAGACUUGAAUUGUCUUCGUGGCAUCGAGGUAAGUGUUUGGUCUAACCUUAGCUGAGGGAUUAAGAGUCGAGUCCUAUUUACUCUGUGGUAUUUGUCGAGUACGACGUAUAGGCAUGGUGACGAGUAUGUAUACGUUGGUGUCAAGCAUGCUCGUGAGUCUUCUAUUGUGAUUAUUAUAACUUUGUUGUAUUAUUCAUGCUUUGAUGAUGAUUUCUAUUGUUGGGCAAAGUUUGUGGAAGUAAUUGUGACAUUUGAACAUUGAGGAGCGUUGGCUCAAGUUGUACAAUGAAAUGUGAAAGUACAAGCGAUAAUCGAAUCUUUUAGAGCAUUGGCUCAAGUUGUGAAGUAAAAGUGAAAAAAGGAAGAGAAUCAGUAUAUUAUCACCCUUGCCAGGAUAUUGUUGUUUUUGAUGUUAUCUCCCUUGCCGGGAUGUUGAUGUUUCUUUUGAUGUUGUUCCCUUGCCGGGACUUGAUUAUUGAACUAUUGUUCCCUUGCCGGGAUUUUUAUUGUAAUUUCAUUUAUUCCCUUGCCCUAUUGUUUGUGAUUGUUGUUUGGGUGAGGAAGAGUGUUAAAGCACGAAGGGUGAUGCCGUGUAUUGUUUUUGGUGAGAAAGUGUUAAAGCACGAAGGGUGAUACCGUGUAUGAUUUGUGAGGGAAGAGUGUAAAGCACGAAGGGUGAUGUUGUGCCGCACGAUGUACCAUUCCGUGCCGAUUAUAUUGAUUAUAUGGUGAGGACGAGAGUAAAAUCACGAAGGGUGAUACCGUGAACAUUUUCAUUACUUGAUUGCUUUGGUGAGGACGAGAGUAAAAGCACGAAGGGUGAUGUCGUGCACUUAUUGAUUCCUAAUUCUUUGUUGAUAUUUGAGAUAUGUUGUUUCUUUUAAUUACCCGUUGUCUUUCUAUUCCAAAUUGAUAAUUCCCCGCAGCAUGAUACUCCUCCCAUACUUGACUGUAUAUUACUGUUCUUCUUUUCCACUAUAUUUAGUUAAAUUGCACAGGUUUAUUUGGUAGCCUGGUCCUAGCCUCGUCACUACUUCGCCGAGGUUAGGCUAGGCACUUACCAGCACAUGAGGUCGGUUGUGCUGAUACUACCCUCUGCACCAUGUGCAGAUCCCGGAGCAGUAGCUUUUGGAUCGUAGAUUGGGUGGCUGCCUUCAGUCCACGCGGAGAUCCAAGGUAGUCCUGCAGGCAUCCGCAGGCCCUGGCGUCUCCCUCUAUCCCUUUACUCCUGUUUCAUUUCUUUAGUUCAGAAAUAAUGUAUUUUUUAUCUUUCAGACUUUGUAUGUAUUCUUAGAUCGUCUGUGAAACUGUGACACUAGUUCUGGGUGGUUAAGGCUCAAACAGUUGUAUUAGAUACAUAUUUCAGAUAGUUUAGUGUAUUUCUUUCGCUUAUUGUAAUUUCCGUUGUCUACGCGUUAUUGCUUUAUAAUUGUUAAGGAAAAUUAAAAUUGGUAAAAGGUUAAUUUGUUCAAACAGUAGGCUUGCCUAGCUCACAUUAGUAGGCGCCGUCAUGACUCCCGAGGGUAGAAAAUCCGGGUCAUGACAAAACUCCACGGAACAAUUAUGAAUUGGAGGCUUCGCAAGAAUUACAUGUACCUAACAGUCGGGAACAAAUUAUAAAAAGUCUUAAUUUGAAAAACCUUCAAAUUUCACACCAAUUCCUGAAAAGCUCCUUCAAAUUGAAUUAAGCAAUGAUUUUAAGCUACCUCUGCAACUCAAAACUCCAAAAUUCCAGAUCUAAAUAUCGAAAUAUAUAGAGACUACUUCAACACCCGAGAGAUCUACGAAUGAACACUAAAUGAAUACAUAAAACAAUUAUUGAAAUAUAGAUCUGAGAACAAAAUGGAAAUUGGAAACAAAAACAAGCAAAGGUUUAGGGAUUGAAUUUUUGUGAGGUUAAGGAUCCAAAUCAGGAAAGGAGUAAGGAGAUACGAAGUAUCAUAAUCAAAAUCGAAGACGGUAAUGUGUCUUACGGUGAAAGAGGUCCAAUUACUCAAGGUAAAGCCACUGCAAAUCUGACAUGAACUCCACCGAAUACAUUGAAACAUGCCAUAGCCGCAACAAUAGUCAACGCCGAUGACAACAUGUCGUCGUGAUAGUCCACAUCUGAGUCAUCGUCGGAAUACAUUCCACUCUCGUGUCUGAGAGAAAAGGGGGUAGUGGCAUUAGUGAGAGCGAGUGGUGAGUCUUUUCUUAAGGUUUUAAUUUUUAGUAGGAAAGUUGUGAAAAUUUAGCGGGCAAUUUUUAGUGGAUAAAUUAUGAAAAUUUUAGCGAAAAUUUUUGGUGUAAAUUUUUUGGGUACCCUUAUAACGUGUUGCUUUAGAGUUAUA